rnacentral:rRNA from 1 species
UACGUAGGGGGCAAGCGUUGUCCGGAUUUAUUGGGCGUAAAGCGCUCGCAGGCGGUCCGAUGCGUCGUGCGUGAAAGACCCCGGCUCAACUGGGGAGGGUCGUGCGAUACGGUCGGACUCGAGGCCAGUAGGGGGACGCGGAAUUCCGGGUGUAGUGGUGGAAUGCGUAGAGAUCCGGAGGAACACCAGCGGCGAAGGCGGCGUCCUGGACUGGUACUGACGCUGAGGCACGAAAGCCAGGGGAGCAAACGGG